rnacentral:rRNA from 1 species
CCUACGGGGGGCUGCAGUGGGGAAUAUUGGACAAUGGGCGAAAGCCUGAUCCAGCCAUGCCGCGUGUGUGAAGUAGGCCUUCGGGUUGUAAAGCACUUUCAGUGGGGAAGAAAGCCUUGGGGCUAAUACCCUCGAGGAAGGACAUCACCCACAGAAGAAGCACCGGCUAACUCCGUGCCAGCAGCCGCGGUAAUACGGAGGGUGCGAGCGUUAAUCGGAAUUACUGGGCGUAAAGCGCGCGUAGGCGGUCUGAUAAGCCGGUUGUGAAAGCCCCGGGCUCAACCUGGGAACGGCAUCCGGAACUGUCAGGCUAGAGUGCAGGAGAGGAAGGUAGAAUUCCCGGUGUAGCGGUGAAAUGCGUAGAGAUCGGGAGGAAUACCAGUGGCGAAGGCGGCCUUCUGGACUGACACUGACGCUGAGGUGCGAAAGCGUGGGUAGCAAACAGGAUUAGAUACCCUAGUAGUC